rnacentral:pre_miRNA from 1 species
UGGGGGAGGCGGGAUCCUGGGCUGUGUCCCGGCGCCCUGUGCUCCGAAGCCUGCGCUGUUGGAUUCGCGCCCCCGGGCUGCGCAGCCCCCU